rfam:Asian citrus Psyllid, Diaphorina citri - Florida Strain, whole genome shotgun sequence.
AUCAGCGGCAAUAGCACGUUUAUUGUACCGGUUCUCCACGAAUAACUGAAGUUAAGCAACGUUUCGUGUGGUUAGUAUCCAGAUGGGUUAUCAUCUGGGCAAAAGCGCGUGCUGUUGGCU